rnacentral:rRNA from 1 species
AGUGAACGCUGGCGGUAGGCCUAACACAUGCAAGUCGAACGGCAGCACAGUAAGAGCUUGCUCUUACGGGUGGCGAGUGGCGGACGGGUGAGGAAUACAUCGGAAUCUACUUUUUCGUGGGGGAUAACGUAGGGAAACUUACGCUAAUACCGCAUACGACCUACGGGUGAAAGCAGGGGAUCUUCGGACCUUGCGCGAUUGUAUGAGCCGAUGUCGGAUUAGCUAGUUGGCGGGGUAAAGGCCCACCAAGGCGACGAUCCGUAGCUGGUCUGAGAGGAUGAUCAGCCACACUGGAACUGAGACACGGUCCAGACUCCUACGGGAGGCAGCAGUGGGGAAUAUUGGACAAUGGGCGCGAGCCUGAUCCAGCCAUACCGCGUGGGUGAAGAAGGCCUUCGGGUUGUAAAGCCCUUUUGUUGGGAAAGAAAAGCAGCAGGUUAAUACCCCGCUGUUCUGACGGUACCCAAAGAAUAAGCACCGGCUAACUUCGUG